AACCCAAACUAAUAGAUUCCGGCGUAAAGCGUGGAUAAGACUACACCCAACUAGAGUUAAACUCUAACUAAGCUGUAAAAAGCCCUAGUUACUGUAAAAUACCCCACGAAAGUGACCCUAUGAAUCUGAACCCACGACAGCUAAGACCCAAACUGGGAUUAGAUACCCCACUAUGCUCAGCCUUAAACCUAGGAGGUCUCACUAACAAGACUGCUCGCCAGAGUACUACUAGCUAAAGCUUAAAACUCAAAGGACUUGGCGGUGCUUUAUAUCCAUCUAGAGGAGCCUGUUCUAUAAUCGAUAAACCCCGCUAAACCUCACCAACCCUUGCUAAGU
rnacentral:rRNA from 1 species